GCGACCCCAGGUCAGGCGGGACUACCCGCUGAAUUUAAGCAUAU
rnacentral:rRNA from 6 species